UACAGAUGAAGAAAUUAAUGUCGAGACUGGUGAAAUGAUUUUCUCAAGCUCACACAGAAUAACACUG
rnacentral:snoRNA from 1 species